rnacentral:piRNA from 8 species
ACUCUGGACUUUGAAUCCAGCGAUCCGAG